UACAGAGGUCUCAAGCGUUGUUCGGAAUCACUGGGCGUAAAGCGUGCGUAGGCUGUUUCGUAAGUCGUGUGUGAAAGGCGCGGGCUUAACCCGCGGACGGCACAUGAUACUGCGAGACUAGAGUAAUGGAGGGGGAACCGGAAUUCUCGGUGUAGCAGUGAAAUGCGUAGAUAUCACGAAGAACCCCGAUUGCGAAGGCAGCCUGCCGCAGCGUUACUGACGCUGAAGCUCGAAAGCGCGGGUAUCGAACAGG
rnacentral:rRNA from 1 species